rnacentral:rRNA from 1 species
UACGGAGGGUGCGAGCGUUGUCCGGAAUCAUUGGGCGUAAAGGGCGCGUAGGUGGCCCGGUCAGCGUGCGGUGAAAGCUCGGGGCUCAACCUCGAGUCGGCCGUGCGAACUGCUGGGCUUGAGCACUGUAGAGGCAGGCGGAAUUCCGGGUGUAGCGGUGGAAUGCGUAGAGAUCCGGAAGAACACCGGUGGCGAAGGCGGCCUGCUGGGCAGUGGCUGACACUGAGGCGCGACAGCGUGGGGAGCAAACAGG